rnacentral:rRNA from 1 species
GAUGAACGCUGGCGGCGUGCCUAAUACAUGCAAGUCGAACGCAUAGCGAAAGGUGCUUGCACCUUUCAAGUGAGUGGCGAACGGGUGAGUAACACGUGGACAACCUGCCUCAAGGCUGGGGAUAACAUUUGGAAACAGAUGCUAAUACCGAAUAAAACUUAGUGUCGCAUGACACAAAGUUAAAAGGCGCUUCGGCGUCACCUAGAGAUGGAUCCGCGGUGCAUUAGUUAGUUGGUGGGGUAAAGGCCUACCAAGACAAUGAUGCAUAGCCGAGUUGAGAGACUGAUCGGCCACAUUGGGACUGAGACACGGCCCAAACUCCUACGGGAGGCUGCAGUAGGGAAUCUUCCACAAUGGGCGAAAGCCUGAUGGAGCAACGCAGCGUGUGUGAUGAAGGCUUUCGGGUCGUAAAGCACUGUUGUAUGGGAAGAACAGCUAGAAUAGGAAAUGAUUUUAGUUGGACGGUACCAUACCAGAAAGGGACGGCUAAAUACGU